rnacentral:lncRNA from 1 species
AGAAAGAUUGAGAAAAUAUCAGAAAAUCAAAAAAAAAGGGCUCGAGGGUUCCAAUUUUGACUUUCAGAUUCUUCUCCUUUGAUUUUUUUUUUGUUUUCAUAGAUAUAUAUAAAAAAAUAUUUCUGUUGAUGCUUCCGAUUUAAAUCUCUGUUAUAACAUACAAAUGGAGUGAAGUUUGAGUUUGAGUUCUUGUUCGGAUUCAAAAUUGUGCGGCCGAUUCGAGUUUCUGUUCGAGGUUCGUGGUUUGGCUCGCGGUUUCUGCUCGAUUGCGUUGCUGUUCUCAGUCGAUAUUUUGGAGCAAUACGUUGUAUCUGCUGAUUCCUCUACUGUUAUUAAAAAGGAUUUCGACUAAACAGGUUCAUCCAUUCUCUUUUCUUCUUACAUCUAAGAGCAUGAAUCAAAUAUUAGUGAUGGGUGAAGUUUGUUGGUUCAUCUCGAUUUAAUUUGUGUUGUUAGUAUUGUCGUUCCCUCUUGAGUUUCUUGCUGCAGGUCAUCAUGAGAACUCUUAUUGAUUGUUUAGAGUAUUUGUCUCUGCUUGUGUUUGGUCUAGCGUUGAAUCUGAUGGUAAUUUAGGGAUAUAAGAAUGAUCUAAUUUACUCGAUUUCUAGCUGUGUUUCUUUGAAAUGUUAGGAAUUCAAUCAUCUUUGUCCAUUAUUUUGUGUUUUGGUGUUAAAUGAGUUGGAUUAGAUUGGAUCGCUGAGUUAUUGGAACUAAGAAUCUGUUGGAUGUGCUGUUAAGGUUACCUCAUGCUGCUUCUUUUAUGGUGUUUUGUGUUCUCGUCGUCUGAUAUGUCGGUGUAGUAUUUUUGUGAGUUAGCGUUUAAUUCGUCUUCGCCUUCUUCUUUGAAUUUGUUUCAGCUAUCGAAUUGCAAGUUUUCUGUUUGUUUUGAAGGAUUUUCAGCUAUUUUAGAUAUAUUUACG